rnacentral:rRNA from 1 species
AACGGACGCUGGCGGCAGGCUUAACACAUGCAAGUCGAACGCAUCCUUCGGGGUGAGUGGCAGACGGGUGAGUAACGCGUGGGAACGUGCCCUUCAGUUCGGGAUAACCCAGGGAAACUUGGGCUAAUACCGGAUACGUGCGAGAGCAGAAAGAUUUAUCGCGGAAGGAUCGGCCCGCGUCUGAUUAGCUAGUUGGUGGGGUAAUGGCCCACCAAGGCGACGAUCAGGAGCUGGUCUGAGAGGAUGAUCAGCCACAUUGGGACUGAGACACGGCCCAAACUCCUACGGGAGGCAGCAGUGGGGAAUAUUGGACAAUGGGCGCAAGCCUGAUCCAGCCAUGCCGCGUGAGUGAUGAAGGCCUUAGGGUUGUAAAGCUCUUUCGUCCGGGACGAUAAUGACGGUACCGGAAGAAGAAGCCCCGGCUAACUUCGUGCCAGCCGCCGCAGUAAUAC